CGAGCGCGGGAAGCGAGUGGAUCCCUUCGGGGUGAAGCUCGUGGAACGAGCGGCGGACGGGUGAGUAACACGUGGGCAACCUGCCUGUAAGACCGGAAUAACCCCGGGAAACCGGGGCUAAUGCCGGGUAAUACUUUUCUUCGCAUGAAGGAAAGUUGAAAGAUGGCUUCUUGCUAUCACUUACAGAUGGGCCCGCGGCGCAUUAGCUAGUUGGUGAGGUAACGGCUCACCAAGGCGACGAUGCGUAGCCGACCUGAGAGGGUGAUCGGCCACACUGGGACUGAGACACGGCCCAGACUCCUACGGGAGGCAGCAGUAGGGAAUCUUCCGCAAUGGACGAAAGUCUGACGGAGCAACGCCGCGUGAACGAUGAAGGUCUUCGGAUCGUAAAGUUCUGUUGUUAGGGAAGAACAAGUACCGUGCGAAUAGAGCGGUACCUUGACGGUACCUAACGAGGAAGCCCCGGCUAACUACGUGCCAGCAGCCGCGGUAAUACGUAGGGGGCAAGCGUUGUCCGGAAUUAUUGGGCGUAAAGCGCGCGCAGGCGGUUCCUUAAGUCUGAUGUGAAAGCCCACGGCUCAACCGUGGAGGGUCAUUGGAAACUGGGGAACUUGAGGACAGAAGAGGAGAGUGGAAUUCCACGUGUAGCGGUGAAAUGCGUAGAUAUGUGGAGGAACACCAGUGGCGAAGG
rnacentral:rRNA from 1 species